rnacentral:rRNA from 1 species
AAAUUGAAGAGUUUGAUCAUGGCUCAGAUUGAACGCUGGCGGCAGGCCUAACACAUGCAAGUCGAGCGGUAGCACAGAGAGCUUGCUCUCGGGUGACGAGCGGCGGACGGGUGAGUAAUGUCUGGGAAACUGCCUGAUGGAGGGGGAUAACUACUGGAAACGGUAGCUAAUACCGCAUAAUGUCGUAAGACCAAAGUGGGGGACCUUCGGGCCUCAUGCCAUCAGAUGUGCCCAGAUGGGAUUAGCUAGUAGGUGGGGUAACGGCUCACCUAGGCGACGAUCCCUAGCUGGUCUGAGAGGAUGACCAGCCACACUGGAACUGAGACACGGUCCAGACUCCUACGGGAGGCAGCAGUGGGGAAUAUUGCACAAUGGGCGCAAGCCUGAUGCAGCCAUGCCGCGUGUGUGAAGAAGGCCUUCGGGUUGUAAAGCACUUUCAGCGGGGAGGAAGGCGAUAAGGUUAAUAACCUUGUCGAUUGACGUUACCCGCAGAAGAAGCACCGGCUAACUCCGUGCCAGCAGCCGCGGUAAUACGGAGGGUGCAAGCGUUAAUCGGAAUUACUGGGCGUAAAGCGCACGCAGGCGGUCUGUCAAGUCGGAUGUGAAAUCCCCGGGCUCAACCUGGGAACUGCAUUCGAAACUGGCAGGCUAGAGUCUUGUAGAGGGGGUAGAAUUCCAGGUGUAGCGGUGAAAUGCGUAGAGAUCUGGAGGAAUACCGGUGGCGAAGGCGGCCCCCUGGACAAAGACUGACGCUCAGGUGCGAAAGCGUGGGGAGCAAACAGGAUUAGAUACCCUGGUAGUCCACGCCGUAAACGAUGUCGAUUUGGAGGUUGUGCCCUUGAGGCGUGGCUUCCGGAGCUAACGCGUUAAAUCGACCGCCUGGGGAGUACGGCCGCAAGGUUAAAACUCAAAUGAAUUGACGGGGGCCCGCACAAGCGGUGGAGCAUGUGGUUUAAUUCGAUGCAACGCGAAGAACCUUACCUGGUCUUGACAUCCACAGAACUUUCCAGAGAUGGAUUGGUGCCUUCGGGAACUGUGAGACAGGUGCUGCAUGGCUGUCGUCAGCUCGUGUUGUGAAAUGUUGGGUUAAGUCCCGCAACGAGCGCAACCCUUAUCCUUUGUUGCCAGCGGUCCGGCCGGGAACUCAAAGGAGACUGCCAGUGAUAAACUGGAGGAAGGUGGGGAUGACGUCAAGUCAUCAUGGCCCUUACGACCAGGGCUACACACGUGCUACAAUGGCAUAUACAAAGAGAAGCGACCUCGCGAGAGCAAGCGGACCUCAUAAAGUAUGUCGUAGUCCGGAUUGGAGUCUGCAACUCGACUCCAUGAAGUCGGAAUCGCUAGUAAUCGUAGAUCAGAAUGCUACGGUGAAUACGUUCCCGGGCCUUGUACACACCGCCCGUCACACCAUGGGAGUGGGUUGCAAAAGAAGUAGGUAGCUUAACCUUCGGGAGGGCGCUUACCACUUUGUGAUUCAUGACUGGGGUGAAGUCGUAACAAGGUAACCGUAGGGGAACCUGCGGUUGGAUCACCUCCUUA